rnacentral:tRNA from 1 species
GGCCUCGUAGCUCAGUUGGCUAGAGCGUUGGCUUUACUAAAGGCUUUCCCCUUGUUGGCGUGGGUUCGAAUCCCAAGGAGGCUU